UCGCCUUCCUUUCUCGCCGCAGGGAAUCGAAAGACAGCGCAGCGAGGGGGGAGGGAGGGGGGAAAGGGCAGCAGCGCCGGCCACAGCGAGCGCGUUCGAGGAUCAAAAUGUGAGGGCGAGCCGGUGGGCUCUGAUCGCCGAUUCGGGAGCCGCCGCCUCUCCGCCGGUGCGCUGAUCUCGGACACACAAGAUGCUGGAUACUAGCUGGAGUGCCGUUUCGGCCUACGUGUCGGAGUAUUGGUCUGUGAUAAUCGCCACCGCCGUGUUCGCUUGCGUUGGCGCAGCGACGAUCUACUACACGGUGAACCAGCUGAACAAGAACAUCAGCCUGAGCCUGAUAAAGGCUCUCAAGGUCAGGGCGAAGCGGUACAAGAAAUGGAAGGACAAGGUCCCCGCCGCGUCCCACGUCUGGAGGAAAGAAGUCGUCCCCCGCAGCAAAGGCCUGAAGUGCUGCGUGUGCCUGAAGUCAGUUUCGCCACGUCAGUACUCUGGGGGAACCAUCCAUCAGUGUGACAUCUGCGGUGCCGCCGCGCAUCCGAGCUGCUCGGGGAAUGCGCACGAGGAUUGCAAGUGUGUUUCUAUGGCGGGUUUGAACCAUGUCCUUCACCAGUGGGCUGUGCAGUGGAUUGACACCGCAGAUCACUCUGAGGAGGACUCUUUCUGUUGCUACUGCGACGAAUCUUGCAAUGGAGCUUUCCUCGCGGGGUAUCCGAUUUGGUACUGUAUGUGGUGUCAGCGGCUCGUGCAUGUUGAUUGCCACACCAGCUUAGCCAAGGAAACUGGCGAUAUCUGUGACUUGGGACCAUUGAAGCGGCUGAUACUGUCACCUCUUUGUGUUAAGGAGCUUCACUGGACAGGUGCAGGAAUUUUUAGUUCUAUCACAAGCGGGGCUAAUGAAUUGGCUUCCACUGUCCGAGAGACGAUUAUGAUUCGUAGAAAAAGGUACAAAAAGGGUACUGCAUCUGCUGAUUCAGAUAGCUCUGGGGCUAUUGAGCUACCAUCUGAUGCUGAAGGAGAUUCACAGGAAGCAAAUAGUGCAGCAAAGAGGAGGGAUGAUCAGGCAAACGGCAAACUCAAUGAGGUACACCAAAGCUCUGAAUCAGAGAAAGAUAAACAACCUGUACCAGAUAACACAGCUGCAACUAGUAGGUCAAAUGGACAACGUAAGAAUUCUCAUGUACAGAACAGUCAGAAGUAUGAAAUUGUCAACGUGCCUUCUGAUUCUAGGCCACUCCUCGUUUUCAUUAACAAGAGAAGCGGUGCCCAGAGCGGUGAUUCACUGAGACAGCGUCUGCAGAUCCUUCUUAACCCUGUGCAGGUUUUUGAGUUGAGCAAGCACCAAGGUCCAGAAGUUGGUUUAGCUUUGUUUCGGAAGGUAACACACUUCAGAGUUCUUGUAUGUGGUGGAGAUGGCACUGCUGGUUGGGUUUUAGAUGCCAUUGAGAAACAGAAGUUUGAAGCUCCGCCUCCUGUAGCCAUCCUUCCAGCUGGUACUGGUAAUGAUCUUGCGAGGGUUCUGUGUUGGGGUGGUGGCCUUGGUGUUAUUGAGAAGAGGGGAGGUCUAUUCUCAGUUUUGCAAGAUGUUGAGCACGCAGCAGUCACUGUUCUAGACAGAUGGAAGAUCACAAUUAAGGACAACCAAGGAAAGCUUAUGGCACCACCAAAAUUUAUGAACAACUACUUUGGGGUUGGUUGCGAUGCAAAGGUUGCCUUAGAUAUCCACAAUUUGAGGGAAGAAAACCCUGAGCGGUUUUAUAGCCAGUUUAUGAACAAGGUGCUUUAUGCAAGAGAGGGAGCAAAGAAUAUCAUGGAUAACACAUUUGAUUAUUUUCCUUGGGAUGUCAAACUUGAGAUAGAUGGAUCCAAAAUUGAUAUUCCUCAGGACUCUGAAGGUAUCCUUGUUGCCAAUAUCCGAAGCUACAUGGGAGGGGUUGACCUAUGGAAGAAUGAGGAUGAUUGCUCUGACGCUUACCUUCCUCAAUCCAUGCAUGACAAGAAGCUGGAAGUUGUUAGCUUCACAGGAAUGCUGCAUCUCGGAAGGCUGCAGGGCUUUCUCGUGCGAAAAGAUUAGCUCAAGGUCAUCAUAUAAAGAUUGAAAUCAGUAUUAAAAUGCCAAUCCAAGUGGAUGGAGAACCUUGGUCUCAGGAGCCGUGCACCAUAGAAGUUUCUCAUCAUAACCAGGCCUUCAUGCUGAAGAGAGUUUCCGAAGAACCUCUUGGUCAUGCCGCUUCCGUCAUGGCCGACAUCCUGGAAAAUGCUGAGAACAGCGGCAUCAUUUCAGCCUUGCAGAAGAGGACUCUGCUCCAGGAGAUAGCAUCUAGGCUCUUGUAGGACAGUACUAACGGUCCGCUUGUAGUUGUGUAGCUCACCCUAUAGCAUGUUCUCUUGUUUUUCAGCUGCCAGAGGCUUUCCUUCCAGGCUAGUAGUGAACUAUGCCUGGACGUUUGUACAUACAAGUCAUGGCAUUUUACGCCUGAUUUGGAUUGUGCUGUGUAUAAUUUCGUGUAAAAUUUUGUAUGCCCUAUUGGGAUGAGCAUAGUUGGUCAGGGCACUGCCAGAGCAUGGUACGCACUCAGUACUCAGUACUCUGUUGCCCUUGGUGAGUCUAGAUAACGUGUUUUUUUUCAUUUUUGUUGAUUGUUGAAAGUUCAAACUAAUGUUGAUCUCUGGGUUUUUAUUUUCACUUUUGCACAAAUUUUGCA